UCUCGAUUCGUCUAGUGGUUAGGAUACCUGCUUGUCAUCCGGUACAAAAUUCGCAGGUGGCCGGGGUUCAAUUCCCCGAUCGAGAG